AGAGUUUGAUCCUGGCUCAGAUUGAACGCUGGCGGCAUGCCUUACACAUGCAAGUCGAACGGCAGCACGGGGGCAACCCUGGUGGCGAGUGGCGAACGGGUGAGUAAUACAUCGGAAUGUACCCAGUAGCGGGGGAUAACUACUCGAAAGAGUUGCUAAUACCGCAUACGCCCUAAGGGGGAAAGGGGGGGAUCGCAAGACCUCUCACUAUUGGAGCAGCCGAUGUCAGAUUAGCUUGUUGGUGAGGUAAAAGCUCACCAAGGCGACGAUCUGUAACUGGUCUGAGAGGACGACCAGUCACACUGGAACUGAGACACGGUCCAGACUCCUACGGGAGGCAGCAGUGGGGAAUUUUGGACAAUGGGGGCAACCCUGAUCCAGCAAUGCCGCGUGAGUGAAGAAGGCCUUCGGGUUGUAAAGCUCUUUUGUCAGGGAAGAAACGGUGUCCACUAAUACUGGGCGCUAAUGACGGUACCGAAGAAUAGCGAUCCCC
rnacentral:rRNA from 1 species